UGAGGACGGAUCUGAGCAGCUGUCAUCGGCAACCACUAGUCCAAAGCCUUGCGGCAACGGCCAUCAUUCCAAAACUCUCUGGACCAGUGACCCCCUGGACUUCGCUUCCCUCCCUGCACAAUGCUGGCUCUGCUGUGUCUGUGCCUGAUCCUGGGCUCCUCAGUGGCCUCUAGUGUGCGGUCACGUCGUUCUUCCUUCGUGGGGGAGUACGGUGCAGGAGGGGGCACUGCCUUCUCAUUCUCCUCGGAGCAGCUAAAUGGGCCAAUAACAGGCCUGCGAGUGCGGGAGAAUCCAAGUAAUAUCUUA